UGGCGGACGGGUGAGUAACGCGUGGGUAACCUGCCCUGUACAGGGGGGAUAACAGUCAGAAAUGACUGCUAAUACCGCAUAAGACCACAGCACCGCAUGGUGCAGGGGUAAAAACUCCGGUGGUACAGGAUGGACCCGCGUCUGAUUAGCUGGUUGGUGAGGUAACGGCUCACCAAGGCGACGAUCAGUAGCCGGCUUGAGAGAGUGAACGGCCACAUUGGGACUGAGACACGGCCCAAACUCCUACGGGAGGCAGCAUG
rnacentral:rRNA from 1 species